rnacentral:rRNA from 1 species
GUUGUAUGGUUAAGUGACUAAGCGUACACGGUGGAUGCCUGGGCAGUCAGAGGCGAUGAAGGACGUACUAACUUGCGAUAAGCGCAGAUAAGGCAGUAAGAGCCGUUUGAGUCUGCGAUUUCCGAAUGGGGAAACCCAACUGCAUAAGCAGUUACUGUUAACUGAAUACAUAGGUUAACAGAGCAAACCGGGGGAACUGAAACAUCUAAGUACCCCGAGGAGAAGAAAUCAACCGAGAUUCCGGUAGUAGCGGCGAGCGAACCUGGAUUAGCCCUUAAGCACUCGGUGAAGUAGGUGAACAAGCUGGAAAGCUUGGCGAUACAGGGUGAUAGCCCCGUAACCGACGCUUCAUCGAGCGUGAAAUCGAGUAGGGCGGGACACGUGAUAUCCUGUCUGAAUAUGGGGGGACCAUCCUCCAAGGCUAAAUACUCCUGACUGACCGAUAGUGAACCAGUACCGUGAGGGAAAGGCGAAAAGAACCCCUGUGAGGGGAGUGAAAUAGAACCUGAAACCGUGUACGUACAAGCAGUAGGAGCACCUUCGUGGUGUGACUGCGUACCUUUUGUAUAAUGGGUCAGCGACUUAUAUUCAGUGGCAAGGUUAACCGUAUAGGGGAGCCGUAGCGAAAGCGAGUCUUAACUGGGCGCUCAGUCUCUGGAUAUAGACCCGAAACCGGGUGAUCUAGCCAUGGGCAGGUUGAAGGUUGAGUAACAUCAACUGGAGGACCGAACCGACUAAUGUUGAAAAAUUAGCGGAUGACUUGUGGCUAGGGGUGAAAGGCCAAUCAAACUCGGAGAUAGCUGGUUCUCCCCGAAAGCUAUUUAGGUAGCGCCUCGGACGAAUACUACUGGGGGUAGAGCACUGUUAAGGCUAGGGGGUCAUCCCGACUUACCAACCCUUUGCAAACUCCGAAUACCAGUAAGUACUAUCCGGGAGACACACGGCGGGUGCUAACGUCCGUCGUGGAGAGGGAAACAACCCAGACCGCCAGCUAAGGUCCCAAAGUAUUGCUAAGUGGGAAACGAUGUGGGAAGGCUCAGACAGCUAGGAUGUUGGCUUAGAAGCAGCCAUCAUUUAAAGAAAGCGUAAUAGCUCACUAGUCGAGUCGGCCUGCGCGGAAGAUGUAACGGGGCUAAGCAAUACACCGAAGCUGCGGCAAUGUCUUUUAGACAUUGGGUAGGGGAGCGUUCUGUAAGCCGUUGAAGGUGAAUCGUAAGGUUUGCUGGAGGUAUCAGAAGUGCGAAUGCUGACAUGAGUAACGACAAAGGGGGUGAAAAACCUCCUCGCCGGAAGACCAAGGGUUCCUGUCCAACGUUAAUCGGGGCAGGGUGAGUCGACCCCUAAGGUGAGGCCGAAAGGCGUAAUCGAUGGGAAACGGGUUAAUAUUCCCGUACUUCUGACUAUUGCGAUGGGGGGACGGAGAAGGCUAGGUGGGCCAGGCGACGGUUGUCCUGGUUCAAGUGCGUAGGCUUGAGAGUUAGGUAAAUCCGGCUCUCUCUAAGGCUGAGACACGACGUCGAGCUACUACGGUAGUGAAGUCAUUGAUGCCAUGCUUCCAGGAAAAGCCUCUAAGCUUCAGAUAGUCAGGAAUCGUACCCCAAACCGACACAGGUGGUCGGGUAGAGAAUACCAAGGCGCUUGAGAGAACUCGGGUGAAGGAACUAGGCAAAAUGGUACCGUAACUUCGGGAGAAGGUACGCUCUUGAUGGUGAAGUCCCUCGCGGAUGGAGCUGACGAGAGUCGCAGAUACCAGGUGGCUGCAACUGUUUAUUAAAAACACAGCACUGUGCAAAAUCGCAAGAUGACGUAUACGGUGUGACGCCUGCCCGGUGCCGGAAGGUUAAUUGAUGGGGUUAGCGCAAGCGAAGCUCUUGAUCGAAGCCCCGGUAAACGGCGGCCGUAACUAUAACGGUCCUAAGGUAGCGAAAUUCCUUGUCGGGUAAGUUCCGACCUGCACGAAUGGCGUAAUGAUGGCCACGCUGUCUCCACCCGAGACUCAGUGAAAUUGAAAUCGCUGUGAAGAUGCAGUGUACCCGCGGCUAGACGGAAAGACCCCGUGAACCUUUACUACAGCUUGGCACUGAACAUUGAACCUACAUGUGUAGGAUAGGUGGGAGGCUAUGAAGACGUGACGCCAGUUGCGUUGGAGCCGUCCUUGAAAUACCACCCUUGUAUGUUUGAUGUUCUAACUUAGACCCUUUAUCUGGGUUGAGGACAGUGCCUGGUGGGUAGUUUGACUGGGGCGGUCUCCUCCCAAAGAGUAACGGAGGAGCACGAAGGUGGG